AUGGAGUUGAGAGUGGGGAACCGAUAUAGACUGGGCAGGAAAAUAGGAAGUGGAUCAUUUGGGGACAUCUAUCUGGGUACUGAUAUCUCAGUGGGAGAGGAGGUAGCCAUCAAGUUGGAAUGUGUGAAGACCAAACACCCACAGCUCCACAUAGAGAGCAAAAUCUACAAGAUGAUGCAGGGUGGAGUGGGUAUUCCAACAAUAAAGUGGUGUGGGGCCGAGGGUGACUAUAAUGUGAUGGUGAUGGAGCUGCUGGGGCCCAGCCUGGAGGAUCUGUUCAAUUUCUGCUCUCGGAAGUUCAGCCUCAAGACGGUCCUGCUUUUGGCUGACCAGAUGAUCAGCCGCAUUGAAUACAUCCACUCCAAGAACUUCAUCCAUAGAGACGUGAAGCCAGACAAUUUCCUGAUGGGGCUGGGCAAGAAGGGCAACCUGGUUUACAUCAUCGACUUCGGCCUGGCCAAAAAGUACCGAGAUGCCCGCACACACCAGCACAUCCCCUACCGUGAGAACAAGAACCUGACAGGCACCGCCCGCUACGCCUCUAUAAACACACAUCUGGGCAUCGAACAGUCCAGACGGGAUGACUUGGAGUCGCUGGGCUACGUCCUCAUGUACUUCAACCUGGGCUCUCUGCCCUGGCAAGGCCUCAAAGCUGCUACUAAAAGGCAGAAGUAUGAGCGCAUCAGUGAGAAGAAAAUGUCCACUCCCAUUGAGGUCCUCUGCAAAGGCUAUCCAUCGGAGUUUGCCACCUACCUGAACUUCUGCCGCUCUCUGCGGUUUGAUGACAAGCCAGACUACUCAUACCUCCGCCAGCUCUUCAGGAACCUCUUCCAUAGACAGGGCUUCUCCUACGACUAUGUCUUUGACUGGAACAUGCUCAAAUUUGGUGCCAACAGAGCAGUGGAGGAUGCAGAGAGGGAGCGUCGGGAGCGGGAGGAGAGGCUGAGGCACAGCAGGAACCCCGGCGCCAGGGGCAUGGCCUCAGCCUCGGGAAGAGCCAGGGCAGCUCAGGACGUCACAGCCCCCUCACCACUCAACCCUGCCUCACACACAGGCCGAGUCCAUGGACGUGUAAAGAGAAUGGACAAGUCAGCCCGCUGCACAAAAGCCCUCCCCGUAUGGAGAAGGAGAGGAAGGUGAGCAUGCGUCUUCAUCGUGGGGCACCUGUGAACAUCUCCUCUUCAGACCUGACGGGGCGCCAGGACACCUCCCGCAUGUCUUCACAGGCCCUGUCCCGGGUCACACCCAGUGGCCUCCAGUCUGCAGCUCCACGGUGAAACCCUCCCCUCCACCUGUGAACCAUGGAGGCCUCAACAUGCACACACACACACACACAAACACACACAUAUAUAAAGGACACAGAGGACUCCCAAUCAAUGCACCAGAGUCUAGCUGUGCUUUUUUUUCACUUAACACACAACCAGGAGUGUGUGUGUGUGUGUGUGUGUGUGUGAGAGAGAGAGAGAGAGAGAGAGAGAGAGAGAGCGAGUGAGAGAGAGUGAGAGAUGGGUGGGUUCAGUACUGUUUCGUAGCAGCCACCCCCUGCCUCCUUACGGUUGAUAAAGCCAUGGAUUCACUUUUUUAUUUUUAGUUUUUUUUUAAACUGGUCUUACUUUUUUUUAGUUCUUUAGCAUUAAAGCGUCUCUGACACCAGCGCUGCUGAUCAGACUUCACAAGGGUUUGAAACUAGAGAAUGACAAGUCUGUUAGCUGUUGAAAAUAGUGUGUGGGACAUUUCUAAUUAUGAAAGCAGGAAGACAUGAUCCAUCAAAGCAGUGUUAAAGACUAUAAAUCCCACAAGUCAACUUCUUUUUUUCUUUCUUUUUUUUCUUUUUCGGUGUCUGAGGUUUAAAUGUAAAGGUAGGACAACCCCUUUGUUUCUAAAAUGGGACAAAGGGUCUUUUAAUGUUCUAUUUUCAAAUGUUUUUUUGUCCUCUUCAGGUGUGUUAGAACCAGAAUGAUAUAGUUUAUCUAAAAACAUGCAGCACAUUGUCUUUCUGUCUUCAGGUUUUGACUGCAGUGUGCUGCUUGGGGAAAGCUGUGAAUGGAACAAUCUGUCCACAUUGAACAGACAAGUUGUUUUAAUUGGGUGCAUAGUGAUGUGGUUUUGUGUUUGUUUGUAUGGUUCUGUCUUGGGGUUCUACAAACUCAAAUGGGUGGGAUGAACAUGUUGAGGGGCAUUUUCUUGUAGGUUUUAACUCCUUUGCCUCCUAACCUCACUGUAGGAAACCUAACCCUCUGCCUCCAUUUAGCUUUUUUCCAAUGAUACCUCUGGCCAUUUUGUAACUAGACCUUGACAAAUAGUCAUUGUCUGUCUUAUUGAUGGGCUUUGACCAGAAUUUCAGGGAUUUAAAACCUGCCUAUCUGGGUGUACAUGUCCAAUACUAGAUCAGUAGAUGUUACUAAAAUUGACCUCACAUGCUUAAAUGAUGUCUUUUCCAGUGCAUUGAUGAUUGCUGCAGUUUAGUUUACAGUUUCAGUCAGCAAGCCUAGAGCAAACAAUGAGCUUGUAAAUUCAUGACAGAGGCAUAGCGGUGGAUACUUUACGUCCGUUUUUAGGAUUUUUUCUUGGAAAAAUGCCUCCUGAGAAGCAAAACAAACAACUUUAUAGUGAUACUGGUGGGAAUCGGGCAACUUCCCAAUCCAUUACUUGUAGCCCAACAUCCCAAUCUCCCAGUUCAAAUCAUUUAAUAUUGAUAACACAAGAUUUAGUUACAUGGUUGCACAGUGCACAAAUAAACUGUGAUCUGAAUUGAAGCCAGUAAGUUUAGAUGAGGUGUCCUUGACUUGUGGCUAAAAUGAAGGCACUUAUUAAUAAUGGAGAAAACUAAUCAGCCUGUGGAAAAAGGUUGAAUGUUGCCUGAUGUUGGACAGAACUGUCCACUCGUUACACUCUGUUUCCAUCUUCAGUCUGACAUUGCAUCCACUCUGAUUUCCAUGGGGGAGGGGGAUUCGACUUUCCCCAACCAAUCACUAGAGACCAACCUAUCUGUCUGAGUGUAACAUCAUUUUAACAUGCCAACAUACUGGCUUUGCUGGGGUUUCAAGAGUGAAAGCGGAGAAAUAUAGUGGGCAAUAUUGAGAAGACAUGUUGUUUAGAGCAGCCUGGAUAGCAGCCUUUGUUAUAUUCCUCAUUGGUUCUGGCACACUGCUUGACAACAGCUCGUCAAUGAUUUUGCUCCCCAUGUGGCACUAAUUUGAUUGUUUAUUAUUUUAACUGGGAAGCCGCUGUUUUAUGUCCCAGUGCCAGAUGAAAUGAGUCAACUCGAACUCGAUGGAUUGGGCAGAUUAAGAGGUCUUGACCCAGGGAAGGCAGAAUGUCUUCUGUAGCCUGUGAAAGCUAACGCAGGAUCCAGGCUUUGUGGAGAAUGAUCCACUCAAGGGUGAGCUGAUACCGUAGCCCUUGUUGCCUAAAUUUUGACCAUUUUUCUUUUGAUCUUUUUUGGCAGGUCCCACACUGAUUAGCUAGAGUGCAUCUAAUGCCACUGUAUAGACAUUUAAUCUGUCAUUAAAUUUGAAAGGAGAUGGCAUCCAUGGAGCACAGCAGGGUCAAUUAUAUAAUGAACUGAAGCAAUCUAAGGCUUAACGUAACCAGUAUAGUUCAGUUCAACUGCAAUCAGGCCCAAGAUUGAUCUUUCUGACCAGCUUGGGACCUCCCCAUAUCACACAAGGUCACACAAGCAAUGUGACAGUCCAGGGAUAAAAAAUGGACUGGAGUGAUUUAAUAUCAGGCUAAAUGGAAGUGCGGACGUUUUGGAGAGCUAUUGAGUGUUGUCUUAUGAAGUGUGUCCCAGCUAAGUCUAAGCUGAGUCUCAUCUGUGUCCCACCUGAGUCCCAGGUAUGUCCCAUCUGUGUCACAGGUUCGUCCCAGCUUAGUCCCGGCUACGUCCCAACUGAGUCCCCACCUUAGUGGAGCUGCGAGCCUCGUGGCUCUUUUUGGUGACGCGUGUCUUCCAUCUGAGCAGUCUGACCAAUAAUACCUGCAGCAAUUGAAAUAUAAAAUCCUUGAUGUGGUUGCAAAGUAUUUUAGGCCAUUUAGGCUAGUUGAAUUGGAGAGGGGGGAAGGGGAUGUAGUGGUAAUUUGUCCAUGUUUGUUCUGUUGUGUAUAGGAUGUGCUUACUCUGUGUAUCAUGUCCACAUGAGCCGUUGUUUGAUAGUAAUAGUGUGAAGAGGGACUGGGAAUGCCUCACAUUAGUUUUUUGCUUUUGUUGUUGUUUUGUUUUUUUUGGUCAUAAGUGAACUUCACCGGUGGGCUUGAGAAACAAACAAAAAAGGGAUGGAUUAACUUGUUUGUCUUGCUUCUGAUGGCUAUGAUAGAUGCAAGUACACUUUACAGGGGAGUACAGUUUUUUCAGUUUGUCAUGUCUGCUUCUCAGUUAUUUCUUAUUUUGUCACCUCCUGUUCAAUUUUGCUUUUAACUAUGCAUUGAAUAUGGUUAAUCAUAUCCAACAAUGCAUCUCUUAGUAUGGAUUCAUGGGAAAUCUUUCUUUCCACUCCCACCUUAUGACUUUUGUUCCUCAAUUGUAAUGCUACUGUAUUUGUGUAUUUUAAAAAUGUAAAUAAAUUAAAAAGUACUUGUAUUAGUUGCUUUUUACUGAUUGGGCUGGCUGAAAUUAAAAGCUAAGAAAAUGA